GACGUCGAUAUUCGACGUCAUAAACACGAUCAACUUUGGUGUAUAUGACGUCGAUAUUCGACGUGAUAAACACGAUCAACUUUGGUGUUUAUGACGUCGGUAUUCGACGUCAUAAACACGAACAAGUUUGGUGUUUAUGACGUCGAUAUUCGACGUC
rnacentral:miRNA from 1 species